AUGAGAAGCAUGGAAGAGGCAUUCAGAUUACAGUUAAGAGUGACAUUUUCACCUUCGUUCCCAAAACNGCUCUUUUCCAACCUUAAUGAUUCUGUGAUUCGCAGAGCCAAGCCCUGUCAGACCUCGCAGCAAUGCGUGCUGGGCGCUCUGCGGCUCUGCCUCACGCGUCUCCUCAGCUACGUCCCCUCACGCCCGCCCGUUCCCCCCUCGGCCCGGAAUCCACAGCAGCACCCCGCGUUACCCCAGCUCCCCCGCCCAUGCCCCCGCCGGCACUCCGGGCCUGGCCGCGCCGCCAGCCGCUCCCGUCACCUUCUCCUCCCCGUCGUAGAGGCGUACGCCGCGCUGCUGGAGCACCAGCGUCUCUCCCAGCUCCAGCAGCCCGCUGGUCCAGGAGAACCGAUCCAUGGCGGUCCAGGCAGAACUCUCCCUUCCCCAGGAGAGACCAGGCCGCAGCCACUACUCUCGUCCGGCAGGCACCGGGCGAGCAGGGCCCAGCCCCAACCGCUCCAGCCACGGCGGCGCGGCGCCCUCCAGCGGCAGCCUGAAGAGAGGCCGCCAUUUUCUCGCCGCAGCGCCCUCCAGCGACGGCCCCGGGAACGGCCGCCAUCUUGUCGCCGCGGUGCGGGCAGCACCAUUGGCCCGUUCAAUUCCCGCGGCCGGCCAAUCAGAGAGGCGGAGCGCGGCGGGGAUUUCAAACGGCGCGGCCGCUCCCAGCCUGUCCGGCCAUGGCAGCGCGGCUCCCUCCGCAGCUCCCCUCCAGCCGCAGGUCCGAGCCGGAGUACCGAGAACAGAGAAGACAAAAAGUUGAAGAAUAUCUAUCAAGAAAAAAGACCUUUUCUGGCAUGCCCAUUCACGAAAAUGAGACAUCAAUCAGUAGCAGAACUAGGAAAGCAGCUAGCAAUAAACUGCAAGAUAAAACAAAGCUGUCAGCAUCUCCAAAGCCAGAAAUGGUAAGUCUUUGAUAGUCAAAUACUGAUGGCACUCUUUCUGUGGCUACAGUGUUCUGCUCACUGAAGUCAAGUACCUAAAAUGUAAUUUCCAGAGUAUGAGAAUUUUGCAGGUGCAGAGGCAUAUCUAGUUAAGAUUUUAUCCAAUAAUUGCUUAAUAUACGGUUUUCUUUCAGUCUUCAGGAAUGCUGAUAUUUAAAAUCUUAUCAAGAUCUCCUGUCAGAAUAGCAAAUUCAUCUAGUGUGCUUGUUUGUUGGUUUUUUUUUUUUUUUUUUUUUNUUUAACCUAACUCUGGGUUAUAGAGUUUGAUUCCGCAAAUCAAGGGAGAGUCUAACCCUCUGGGUGGGCCCUCUUACUCCCAAGGCAAAACUUAAACAAUCAUUAUCUGAUUCCUAGAUCUGGAAUAAUAGUUGACAAAUAUUCUACUUGGUGUGUAUAUGUAUGCUACUUCUGUACAUACUAUCACCUUUAAAUUGGCAUUUACUGUUAAUUGAUUCCCUUAAAUGUGUGAAAGCCUCUAGGAAACUUAAAUAGCCUGCAACAUGAACACACAUCUAAUAUAUACAUGGAAAUGCUUCUGAUUUCAGGAAGAUAAGGAGAAUGCCAACGAGCUUUCAUGGGACCGAUCAAGCAGAACUUCAGAAGAAAAUAUUAUUUUAAAAUCUUCUACAAUCACACUGGCAUCGGAGACUAGCUAUAAUCCUCAAGAUCACACUUCAGUGAAUAAAGUCACUGAAAUAAAGUCUCAGUGUGUAUUACUCAGCAAGUCCUUGCAAGUAAAAACCAUGAAAGAGAAACAACUGACGGCAGAAAAACACAGUUCAAAUGUCAGCCUACCAAAGAAACCAGUGCUUGGUACAUAUCGUGGCAGAGUCAUCCAGUCCAAGAUCAACUCCUUCCGCAAAGCACCAAAGAGUGAGGGGGAAAAGAGUUCUUUGUCAGACGAGAAGCCUCUUACUUCUGCCACCAAACCAGCAGUGAAAUCUUUGUCCAGAGGCAGCUGCAGUGUAGUUCUGAAGACUGUCAAAGUCACAAAUCAUCCUAAUUCCAUAAAACCUAGUUGUGUCCUGCCAUUACAGAGCAAGCCAUCUGUCAAACCUGCUAUUAACUCUCAGUCUAGCCUAAAUAAACUGCCAUCAACAUCUGCUGCAGUACCAAAAAAAUUAACAGUCCAAAAAACGAUUGGGAAGAGGGGACCUCAGCAACCAAAGGCUGCUUCUAAGAGUUCUGACCAUGGAACACUGGGAGUGAAGAAAUGUGAGGAACUCUGUGAAGAUGGAAAAGCAGAAGUUCCAGCAAAACAAUCUUCUGUUGUUCCCAGUGGCAAACUUGGACGGGAUUAUAAAGCUAACAACAUCAAGAAAUCUCUUCUGAAAGAAUCGGCAGAGGAGAGAAGGUAAGUGAACUUGUCACUGUAUUGUAGCUUGAUCUUGUGAGGUAUUUACAAGUUCUUUCUGUGGAUAUCUUACUUCAUCUAGUUCUUGCUGUAGGAGAACUGGAUUGUUUGAAAUUGACUAAAACUGUGGGCUUAAUAGUGAGAAAUCGGGAUUCAGACUGGUUGCAAAGCUCUAUAACUGCACAGGCCUAAAAACAUAAGUAUUGUUUGCACUCAUUUUUUCAGGCUGAGUGAUGUGACAGUUUUAAGCAUCACAGUUACUCCUGUAAAUGAACUGCAUGUGAAUGCUAGUGCUUAAAAAAAAAAAAAGGCAUGUUUAUGGACGGAAGGGGGGUACUUAAUGAAAUACUGUUCAACUUGGUGAAUGCAUCCUGGAUGAUGGGAUGAAGAUAAUUCAGAAGUUAGUAUUGAUAGUACUCCUUGUAAAAAGUCACACUGACA
ensembl:lncRNA